GAUGAACGCUGACAGAAUGCUUAACACAUGCAAGUCUACUUGGUUCUACUUCGGUAGUUGAUGGUGGCGGACGGGUGAGUAACGCGUAAAGAAUCUGCCCUCUAGUUUGGGAUAACCUUUGGAAACGAAGGCUAAUACCGGAUAUUAUGGAGACGUCGCAUGGCGACUCCAUGAAAGCUAUAUGCGCUAGAGGAGGACUUUGCGUCCCAUUAGUUAGUUGGUGAGGUAAUGGCUCACCAAGACCGCGAUGGGUAGCCGGCCUGAGAGGGUGAUCGGCCACAAGGGAACUGAGACACGGUCCUUACUCCUACGGGAGGCAGCAGUGGGGAAUAUUGGACAAUGGGCCACAAGCCUGAUCCAGCAAUUCUGUGUGCACGAUGAAGGUCUUCGGAUUGUAAAGUGCUUUCAGUAGGGAAGAAAAAAAUGACGGUACCUACAGAAGAAGCGACGGCUAAAUAUGUGCCAGCAGCCGCGGUAACAC
rnacentral:rRNA from 1 species